rnacentral:rRNA from 1 species
UACGAGUGCUUCAAGCGUUAUCCGGAAUUAUUGGGCGUAAAGGGUGUGUAGGCGGUUUUGUUAGUCUCCCGUUAAAUUCUUCGGCUCAACCGAGGGUCUGCGGGGGAAACGGCAGAACUUAGAGGAUGGAAGGGGUCUCUGGAACUCAUGGUGUAGCGGUGAAAUGCGUAGAUAUCCGGAGGAACACCGGUGGCGAAGGCGGCUUCCUGGACCGACACUGACGCUGAGGCGCGAAAGCUAGGGGAGCAAACGGG